rnacentral:rRNA from 1 species
AUUGAACGCUGGCGGCAUGCUUUACACAUGCAAGUCGAACGGUAACAGGGUGCUUGCACCGCUGACGAGUGGCGAACCGGUGAGUAAUGCGUCGGAGCGUGCCGAGUAGUGGGGGAUAACGCAGCGAAAGUUGUGCUAAUACCGCAUACGUACUGAGGUAGAAAGUGGGGGACCUUCGGGCCUCACGCUAUUCGAGCGGCCGACGUCUGAUUAGCUAGUAGGUGAGGUAAAGGCUCACCUAGGCGACGAUCAGUAGCGGGUCUGAGAGGAUGAUCCGCCACACUGGGACUGAGACACGGCCCAGACUCCUACGGGAGGCAGCAGUGGGGAAUUUUGGACAAUGGGCGAAAGCCUGAUCCAGCCAUGCCGCGUGUCUGAAGAAGGCCUUCGGGUUGUAAAGGACUUUUGUCAGGGAGGAAAUCCCUAGUGCUAAUAACACUGGGGGAUGACAGUACCUGAAGAAUAUGCACCGGCUAACUACGUGCCAGCAGCCGCAGUAA